GGUUAGCCCUCCCCCUCCUUCUUUUCUGUAUUUCUCCCCCCAAAGCCACUCCCUAUUAGCAGUCAUCUGUAUUCCUUUAGUGUGUCUUUUGCGUUUAGCGGUGCUUUCGACCCCUCUCCACUCCCCUCCCCUCUCCUCCCUGCUGUACCCAUUUUCAUUCUCUCGGUAUUCUUGAUUGUGUGCUGUGACGCGUACCAUGGCCCUCCGCGCCAAGUCUGCGCUGUGCCUGGUGGCCGUGUUUGCCGUGUUGCUGGCCACCACGGUGAGCGGCCUCUACGCCAAGCCGAGUGACUUUCCGCUUCUCGGCAAGAGUUUUGUGGCGGAGAUCAACUCAAAGGCGAGGGGUCAGUGGACCGCCUCGGCCGAUAAUGGCUACCUGGUCAGCGGCAAGAGCCUCGAGGAGGUGCGCAAGCUGAUGGGUGUGACCGACAUGAGCACCGAGGCUGUUCCUCCCCGCAACUUCUCCGUGGAUGAAAUGCAGCAAGACCUGCCAGAGUUCUUCGACGCCGCCGAGCACUGGCCCAUGUGCGUGACAAUCAGCGAGAUCCGUGACCAAUCGAACUGCGGCUCGUGCUGGGCCAUCGCCGCGGUGGAGGCUAUUUCGGACCGCUACUGCACCCUCGGUGGCGUUCCGGAUCGCCGCAUAUCGACCAGCAACCUUCUCUCCUGCUGCUUCAUAUGCGGCUUUGGCUGCUACGGCGGCAUUCCGACGAUGGCGUGGCUGUGGUGGGUGUGGGUGGGCAUAACGACGGAGGUCUGCCAGCCCUACCCCUUUGGCCCAUGCAGCCAUCACGGGAACAGCGACAAGUACCCGCCCUGCCCGAACACCAUCUACGAUACCCCUAAAUGCAAUACCACCUGCGAGAAAAGCGAGAUGGAUCUGGUCAAGUACAAGGGCGGCACAUCUUACUCCGUCAAAGGCGAGAAGGAGCUCAUGAUCGAGCUCAUGACCAACGGCCCCUUGGAGGUGACCAUGCAGGUGUACUCCGACUUCGUCGGCUACAAGAGUGGAGUGUACAAGCACGUCUCUGGUGACCUUCUCGGUGGACACGCCGUAAAACUGGUCGGUUGGGGAACCCAAGGCGGUGUCCCGUACUGGAAGAUCGCCAACAGCUGGAACACCGACUGGGGUGACAAAGGCUACUUCCUGAUCCAGCGCGGCAGCAAUGAGUGCGGUAUUGAGAGCGGCGGCGUUGCUGGCACACCCGCGCAGGAGUAGCCAUCAGAGCGAUCUAGUUCCCUUCCGCCGGGCCCUUUGCUCACCGAAACCGUCACGGCAUUUCCGCCUAUCCCCGCUUCUGUCUCGGCAUGUACGUGUGGCUUCUGAUGUUUUCUAAACGUGCUUGUUGUCUUCCUUCUUUUUUUGUUUCCCUGGAUGCUUCACGAAACUCUCUCCGCCUCUCUCUUCUUUUUCGUUUUUUUUUUGUUUUGACGUCUUUCUAUAUCAGCAUCAGCGGCUCUCUCCUCUCUCUCUAGGCAAACGCGAACCCCCUUUUCUUCGUUUGUGUCCUCGUUUUUGCGUGCGCGUGUGGUGCUUGUGUGUGUGUGUCGUCUUCGCCACCCCCUUUCCCCCGGAGGUGGGCACACACACACACCACCCCAAAGCAAAGUAAAACGGGAAAGGAGGCUGAGAAAAACAGCAAAGAAUCAAGCUUCACAGACAAAACCAUGAGAUGGAUGCACGCCCACUUUUAGACGUGUGAUGGGUAACGUGUGCGUGCGUGUGCGCGCGCGUCUGCGUUUUCAUGGAGAUGGACCACAGAGUGCACGAAGAAGAGUCACAAAAAAAGGAAGAGGGGCAUUGGUGGGUCUGCCAGCUCAUGGCCUUCCUCCUUCCGCCUCCUGCCGUUCCGUCCAUCAAACCCAUCACUACCGCUACACGCUCAGCUUUGCGCGUGCAUCUGCAAGCGCGCUCGCGCGCGCACACGCACGCACACGUUACCCAUCACAAACCCAGAUAUAUAUAUAUAUAUAUUCCUCUUUUGGUGUCCUGCAUCGCUUUUUUUUUGUGCUUUAUGCUUUUGUUUUCUUUCCCAUCACUUUUCGCCUACACCUUUUCUCAGCCCUCUCGUUCAUCAUCUCUUGCUCGCUUUUCUUAUAGCCGAGCGAGAGGUGAUCCCACGAGUGACUUAUGGUGAGGCCCACACACCUACUCAUUCAACUGCACACGCACACGGAGAGGUGAGGCUAGGUGUAUGUCUGUGUGUUCGUCCUCGUGAAACGUCGAGUAGCAGUCGCGAUAGAGCUGAAAACAAAAGAGAGGGAGAGGGUGUGGCGAAGUCUGUGGCGGGGCGGCGUGGCACUGAGAGCGUGAAGAAGUCAGCCAAUACACACGUAUACGCGUAACAGAAGGAAAAGUCGUUGAGCAACGACGUGCUAGUGUCUUCUGUUCUGCAUGUCUUUUUUUUUCUUUGUUUUUAGCGCUGUGCUGUGUGUGUCGAGCGUCCCUUUUCUCUUCUGGGUGCAACGCUUUCAGAUAUCCAUAACGCAAGCACUCCUGCCCUUGCUCCUGCUUGCGCAGGCCUAUACAAUCACGCAGACUUGCUUGCCUCUCACCCUUCUCUCUCUUUCUCGCCCCCCUUUGCCACGGCGCCCACUUUGCACGGCAGCCACAACUUAUUUAUCUUCCUUUCACGGUGGUCGGUUCCACUUUUCGUUUUCAUGUCCGUAUCAGAGUGCUUCUGACAGCAGCGCAC
rnacentral:misc_RNA from 1 species